rnacentral:rRNA from 1 species
AACGAACGCUGGCGGCAGGCUUAACACAUGCAAGUCGAACGCCCCGCAAGGGGAGUGGCAGACGGGUGAGUAACGCGUGGGAAUCUACCCUGAUCUGCGGGAUAGCUCCGGGAAACUGGAAUUAAUACCGCAUAUGUCCUGAGGGACAAAGAUUGAUCGGUUCAGGAUGAGCCCGCGUCCGAUUAGCUAGUUGGUGGGGUAAAGGCCUACCAAGGCGACGAUCGGUAGCUGGUCUAAGAGGAUGAUCAGCCACAUUGGGACUGAGACACGGCCCAAACUCCUACGGGAGGCAGCAGUGGGGAAUAUUGGACAAUGGGCGCAAGCCUGAUCCAGCCAUGCCGCGUGAGUGAUGAAGGUCUUAGGAUUGUAAAGCUCUUUCACCGGGGACGAUAAUGACGGUACCCGGAGAAGAAGCCCCGGCUAACUUCGUGCCAGCCGCCGCCGUAA